AACUAAAGAAGAUGUGGAAUUCCGAUGGGAAAUGCUAUCUGACUUCCGGUCAAGAACAAGAGUGCUGGCUCUUAGUGUCUAUUCAUCACCAUCUACAAAGAGGGCAGGGGGCUUGCCAGUUACAAAUACCAAAGGAAGCAACGAACCCUGUAAAAGUGACGACCAAGAUCAUAUGAACUCAUUCUCAAAAGAUGACUCUGAGAUGCUCAAACCUCUUAUUUCAAAGGAUGCAACCCAAAGUCACGAACUGCAGAUGAAGCAAUCUGUUUCUUGUAUUCCAAUGAGUGGAAUCAAUAAAGUUUGUUGGAUCAUCUGUUUGAUUCUUGGAGCAGCUGCACUUCUAGUCCUCCUGGUUAUCCUCUGUGCAGCUAUAUAAUCUACCUACUCUGCCCGGUUCCUAUUUGUGUGCUAUUACGAUUACUGCUGCAUAACUACAGAGCAACAAUUAGUGGAUUAUGUCUUCGUAGCUUCUAUUUAUAUACCUGUUAACUCUCGGAGAUGCAUGGAAUUGAUUCUGAAAUUACUGGCAGGAUAUCAGUGUUAAUUCCAUAUUUAUGGGACGAUUAUCUUCACUUGCCACGAGACCUUUAAGCCCACUAAGACUGCCUGCUCUUCCUUUGAUGCAAUAUCUACUUCUUCAUGUUACAUUGCGUGUAUGUGCCAUUGCCUCUCUAUCCCCAUUCCCCAUUUACGAACACUUCAUCUACGACUCAUAUUGCAAAAACCUUUUGUACAUAAAGGAAACAAAAGAAACAAUGGCAAUGACUCCGAGCAUAACCAAUCGCACAAAUCAUCAAGCCAUUCUUACAUGUCAAGUUCUGGAAUCUAUAGAAGGACUUUCCUUGUUCAUUCUCAGUUAUCAACCCGUACUGUUAUUCUAUGCCUUAAAAAAGACAAUAAAGAUUGAGAUCAAAGAUGAUACAGUGCUUCAGAUCUGCAGAGAUCGAGAACAGCAAACAUCAUUGUCUCUAGUGUAGCAGCAAGAAAUUCUUGGGAAGUUCAGGCCGCCGGAGAAUGCAAAGAUGGAUGAUCAAGUGAUGGAGGAUGGAGACUUUAAGUAUACUUUUGAUGUUUAGUACAUAAGCUAUUAAGGGUGCUGUUUGGAAUUACACAUGCUAAAGCACAAUAAAUUGAAUGUAAAGGCAUAUACAUUUUAUAUGAAGAUGUGAAGUCCUGCCCAAGUGAAGAUGUGCAAGUUCUGUGGUCUAUACUGGUUGAGUCCCAUCUGCAUGCACCUAUUCCAACCCAA